rnacentral:misc_RNA from 1 species
AAGACUAUAGACCUGCGGAGUACCUGCGGAAGGAUCAUUAACGAAUGGUCCCCGUACCUUCAAACACCUCAAACCAGUGGACAUUUGAAAAUGUGCUUCGGCGCUCUUGCGUCGCCUUUAUGCUGUAUAUAUGUCGUUAGUGUCUGAAUGCAAACCAAAAGAAUCAAAACUUUCAACAACGGAUCUCU